rnacentral:rRNA from 1 species
GACGAACCGUGCGAACGUUGUUCGGAAUCACUGGGCUUAAAGGGCGCGUAGGCGGUUGGUCAAGUCAGGGGUGAAAUCUUUCGGCUCAACCGGAAAACUGCCUUUGAUACUGACUGGCUGGAGGGAGAUAGGGGUUGCGGGAACUACCAGUGUAGCGGUGAAAUGCGUAGAUAUUGGGAGGAACACCAGUGGCGAAGGCGGCUCACUGGACCGGUACUGACGCUGAUGCGCGAAAGCGUGGGGAGCAAACAGGG